GACGAACGCUGGCGGCGCGCCUAACACAUGCAAGUCGAACGAGAGAGAGGGAGCUUGCUUCCUCAAUCGAGUGGCGAACGGGUGAGUAACGCGUGAGGAACCUGCCUCAAAAGGGGGGGACAACAGUUGGAAACGACUGCUAAUACCGCAUAAGCCCACAGCUCGGCAUCGAGCAGAGGGAAAAGGAGCAAUCCGCUUUGAGAUGGCCUCGCGUCCGAUUAGCUAGUUGGUGAGGUAAUGGCCCACCAAGGCGACGAUCGGUAGCCGGACUGAGAGGUUGAACGGCCACAUUGGGACUGAGACACGGCCCAGACUCCUACGGGAGGCAGCAGUGGGGAAUAUUGCACAAUGGGGGAAACCCUGAUGCAGCGACGCCGCGUGGAGGAAGAAGGUCUUCGGAUUGUAAACUCCUGUUGUUGAGGAAGAUAAUGACGGUACUCAACAAGGAAGUGACGGCUAACUACGUGCCAGCAGCCGCGGUAAAACGUAGGUCACAAGCGUUGUCCGGAAUUACUGGGUGUAAAGGGAGCGCAGGCGGGAAGACAAGUUGGAAGUGAAAUCUAUGGGCUCAACUCAUAAACUGCUUUCAAAACUGUUUUUCUUGAGUAGUGCAGAGGUAGGCGGAAUUCCCGGUGUAGCGGUGGAAUGCGUAGAUAUCGGGAGGAACACCAGUGGCGAAGGCGGCCUACUGGGCACCAACUGACGCUGAGGCUCGAAAGUGUGGGUAGCAAACAGGAUUAGAUACCCUGGUAGUCCACACCGUAAACGAUGAUUACUAGGUGUUGGAGGAUUGACCCCUUCAGUGCCGCAGUUAACACAAUAAGUAAUCCACCUGGGGAGUACGACCGCAAGGUUGAAACUCAAAGGAAUUGACGGGGGCCCGCACAAGCAGUGGAGUAUGUGGUUUAAUUCGACGCAACGCGAAGAACCUUACCAAGUCUUGACAUCCUGCGACGAUGCUGGAAACAGUAUUUUCCUUCGGGACGCAGAGACAGGUGGUGCAUGGUUGUCGUCAGCUCGUGUCGUGAGAUGUUGGGUUAAGUCCCGCAACGAGCGCAACCCUUACUGUCAGUUACUACGCAAGAGGACUCUGGCAGGACUGCCGUUGACAAAACGGAGGAAGGUGGGGAUGACGUCAAAUCAUCAUGCCCUUUAUGACUUGGGCUACACACGUACUACAAUGGCGUUAAACAAAGAGAAGCAAGACCGCGAGGUGGAGCAAAACUCAGAAACAACGUCCUAGUUCGGACUGCAGGCUGCAACUCGCCUGCACGAAGUCGGAAUUGCUAGUAAUCGUGGAUCAGCAUGCCACGGUGAAUACGUUCCCGGGCCUUGCACACAAGGCCCGUCA
rnacentral:rRNA from 1 species